rnacentral:rRNA from 1 species
AUUGAACGCUGGCGGCAGGCCUAACACAUGCAUGUCGGGCGGUAGCACAGAGAGCUUGCUCUCGGGUGACGAGCGGCGGACGGGUGAGUAAUGUCUGGGAAACUGCCUGAUGGAGGGGGAUAACUACUGGAAACGGUAGCUAAUACCGCAUAACGUCGCAAGACCAAAGAGGGGGACCUUCGGGCCUCUUGCCAUCAGAUGUGCCCAGAUGGGAUUAGCUAGUAGGUGGGGUAAUGGCUCACCUAGGCGACGAUCCCUAGCUGGUCUGAGAGGAUGACCAGCCACACUGGAACUGAGACACGGUCCAGACUCCUACGGGAGGCAGCAGUGGGGAAUAUUGCACAAUGGGCGCAAGCCUGAUGCAGCCAUGCCGCGUGUAUGAAGAAGGCCUUCGGGUUGUAAAGUACUUUCAGCGAGGAGGAAGGCAUUGUGGUUAAUAACCACAGUGAUUGACGUUACUCGCAGAAGAAGCACCGGCUAACUCCGUGCCAGCCGCCGCAGUAA